rnacentral:pre_miRNA from 1 species
GUCUGGCUCUCCCUCUCUAAUCCUUGCUACCUGGGUGAGAGUGCUUUCUGAAUGCAGUGCACCUGGGCAAGGAUUCCGAGAGGGAGAGCU